GUGUUUCAGGCUGAUUCUAUACUAUGUCUGUGACCUAGUGCAGGACUUCCCAAACUUUUUCAUUCCAGGACCCACCUAGACAAACACCAUCAAUCUCAAGACCCACCGUAAUGUUUAUAAAUGAAAAUAUGGGCGAAAAACGCAGCCUGAUUUAGUAGAACACCAUGGCCAAACUCCACUAUUAUAACUUUGGGGAUGUGUUUUAUGAGCUGCUUGUCUUCGGAUUCUUUACCUGCAGCUCAGCACCUGAGACAUUUGAGGGAGCAUUUUUGGAGCGACUGAUGGCACUCAUCAGCAUGUUGGACGUAGACGUGUGGGAGUCUGCAGUGGCGCUUUAUUUCACAGAGCUUAUCAGGCUGUAAGAAGAAAUCCAGUGUAUGCACAGACAACGAGCUGGAGGAUGAAAAAUUGAUUAAGCGGUGGUUUUAUCUGGCUGCUGACCGCGAGGGUGUCUGAAAAAGAACACAUUUAACAAUUUAAUAUAUUGCUUGGUUUCUGUAGUCUUUAUUAUUUUUGUAUUUUGACUAUUUGUUUUUUGUUUUAUUGUUUUUUUUUUCCUUAUCUUUUUUCACUGUGUAUUGUUUUUCCUGUUAUCUGGCUGAGAUUUCAAUCUCUCUAAUUCAUCCCAAAGGUGUUCUUUUGGGUUGAGGUCAGGACUCUGUGCAGGCCAGUCAAGUUCCUCCACACCAAACUCGCUCAUCCAUGUCUUUAAGGACCUUGGCUUUGUGCACUGGUGUACAGUCAUGUUGGAAGAGGAAGGAGUCAUCUCCAAACUGCUCCCACAAUGUUGAGAGCAUGAAAUUGUCCAAAAUGUCUUGGUAUACUGAAGCAUUAAGAGUUCCUUUCACUGGAACUAAGGGGCCAAAAACAACACAAUUCAAUGAUUCAGUGUGUCCCAAAACUUUUGGCAAUAUAGUGUAUGUUGAUUCAGACUUCUGAUUCUUGUGUGUAUGAAUGUGUUUUAAUCAUCUCUUAAGAGUUGUUUACUCAUUAUCAGACUGGUUUUGUUUGAUUUACUGUAACAUAAAUUUAGCUGCAGACUUUGUGUGACCCACAGUUUCAGUGUCUUCACUGAUAGGGAUUUCAAAGCACUUCGUUCUGGAUAAGGGCGUCUGCCAAAUGCCAGAAAUGUAAAUGUAAAUGUUUGUUUAAAUGGCACUACGGAAGCCUAAAGUAACUUAAAUCUAGGUUUAGAUCUAAGUUAUCUGCAACAUCAUACAUCCACUGCUAUGUUUAUGCUUUUAUGUUUCAUAUUAUGUAGUGUUAUGUAGUUUAUUGUAACUACAAUGGAUAUAAAAAAAUCUAUACACCCCUGUUAAAAUGGCAGGUUUUUGUGAUUACUUGACUGGUAUUUGCAGCUAUUCAUGAUUCCCUCCAUUUUGAAGGAUGCCCCAGUUCUGUCUAAAUAAAUGCAGCCCUACAGAUGAUGCUGCCACAACCAUGCUACGUAGUGGUUAUGGUGUUUUUUGGUGAUUACAUAUUAUAUUUUGGAAUUGCUCUUAUCAGACCAAAUUACAUUUUGCCACAGGGUUUGAGCUUGUACUUUUUGUGAGAUGAAAUAUGCAGAUUGUAAGAGUAAUCACUACUUGUUAGAUAUUCCUGCAGCUGCUUUUAUGUUACUGUAGGUCUCUUGGCAGUUUUUCUGAGAAGUUUUUCUAAAUUUGGAGGGACAUUCUGUUCUUGGUGAUGCCACUGUGGUGAUCAGUUUUCUCUAUUUGUUGAUGACGAUGGCCUUUGCAGUGUUCCAUGGUACAUCGAAUGUUUUGGAAAUUCUUUUAUACCCCUCUCCUAAUUGAUACCUUUUAGAAAGUGAAGUACUGUACAUGCUUUGCAAGCGCUUUGUGGGCUUUAGCAGUUGGAUGAAGCCAAAAAAAUGUAAAGAUCCUACAGGAACAGCUGAUUUUUUUGUGGGGAAUAAUGAUAAUUUAAUUGACGAGAGCUGUAUGGUGAUAAAGCCCCAACUGGAAUUAUAAACGUGUACAUAGUGUGCACACUUGAAACUAGGAUAUUGCAACUUACUUUAUUUUUGCCUUAAAGGUUUCUUGUUUAUUUUUUUAUACAUUGUACUUUUACAUGGAAAAAGCUGGAAAACAUGAUUUAUCUCGGUUUCAUUUAUUUUAUGAUAAAAACCAGCCAUUUUAACAUGGUAAACCUUUUACAUCCAUUGUAUUUU